UUCUUCCGGGCAGGGGAAGGAACUCGUUGGUGCUUUGCGUGUUCCUUUUUAAGCCGUUGGCUUUUCUCUCGCCCCAUGCUCGGUGCUUGACCCUUGGAUGCUGAAAUUGAGUGGGCAAGGGGGUGAGGAAAACCCUCUUGAUGAGCCCGGGCCUUGCACUCGUUGCUCGAACCGAAAGACGUUGUGGCUCGCCUUGGCAUUCUUGAACCACGGGUUCUCGUAAUGGCCA
rnacentral:misc_RNA from 1 species